GUUUACGGCCAUACCACCCUGAAUACGUCCGAUCUCGGAAGCUAAGCAGGGUCGGGCCCGGUUAGUACUUGGAUGGGAGACCGCCUGGGAAUACCGGGUGCUGUAAGCU
rnacentral:rRNA from 1 species